rnacentral:rRNA from 1 species
UACAGAGGUGGCAAGCGUUGUUCGGAAUUACUGGGCGUAAAGGGCGCGUAGGCGGCCUUCUAAGUCAGACGUGAAAUCCCCGGGCUUAACCUGGGAACUGCAUUGGUGACUGGCGGGCUAGAGUAUGGCAGAGGGGGGUAGAAUUCCACGUGUAGCAGUGAAAUGCGUAGAGAUGUGGAGGAAUACCGAUGGCGAAGGCAGCCCCCUGGGCCAAUACUGACGCUCAUGCACGAAAGCGUGGGGAGCAAACAGG